CAGUCGCCGCGGGAAUACAGAGGGUGCGAGCGUUAAUCGGAUUUACUGGGCGUAAAGCGUGCGUAGGCGGCUUCUUAAGUCUGAUGUGAAAUCCCUGGGCUUAACUUAGGAAUUGCAGUCGAUACUGGGAAACUAGAGUAUGGUAGAGGAUAGUAGAAUUCCAGGUGUAGCAGUGAAAUGCGUAGAGAUCUGGAGGAAUACCGAUGGCGAAGGCAGCUAUCUGGCCUAAUACUGACGCUGAGGUACGAAAGCAUGGGGAGCAAACAGGAUUAGAUACCCCCGUAGUCCCUGUCUCUUAUAA
rnacentral:rRNA from 1 species